rnacentral:rRNA from 1 species
CUAAUGAUUGAAACAAUUGAAGUGACUGAGUGGCGGACGGGUGAGUAACGCGUGGGUAACCUGCCUUGUACAGGGGGAUAACAGUUGGAAACGACUGCUAAUACCGCAUAAGCCCACGGUGCCGCAUGGCACUGCGGGAAAAGGAUUUAUUCGCUUCAGGAUGGACUCGCGUCCAAUUAGCUAGUUGGUGAGGUAACGGCCCACCAAGGCGACGAUCAGUAGCCGGACUGAGAGGUUGAACGGCCACAUUGGGACUGAGAUACGGCCCAGACUCC